AUUGAACGCUGGCGGCAGGCUUAACACAUGCAAGUCGAGCGGAGUGAUGGUGCUUGCACUAUCACUUAGCGGCGGACGGGUGAGUAAUGCUUAGGAAUCUGCCUAUUGGUGGGGGACAACAUCUCGAAAGGGAUGCUAAUACCGCAUACGUCCUACGGGAGAAAGCAGGGGAUCACUUGUGACCUUGCGCUAAUAGAUGAGCCUAAGUCGGAUUAGCUAGUUGGUGGGGUAAAGGCCUACCAAGGCGACGAUCUGUAGCGGGUCUGAGAGGAUGAUCCGCCACGCUGGGACUGAGACCCGGCCCAGACUCCUACGGGAGGCAGGAGUGGGGAAUAUUGGACAAUGGGGGGAACCCUGAUCCAGCCAUGCCGCGUGUGUGAAGAAGGCCUUAUGGUUGUAAAGCACUUUAAGCGAGGAGGAGGCUCUUUUGGUUAAUACCCAAGAUGAGUGGACGUUACUCGCAGAAUAAGCACCGGCUAACUCUGUGCCAGCCGCCGCCGUAA
rnacentral:rRNA from 1 species